AGUACAACUCCCGAUAAUGGAUAUCUCGACUCUCGCAUCGACAAAGAACGUAGCAAAAUGCGAUACGUGGUGCGAAAUGCAGAAUCCGCACAAACCAUUGAGUCUUCGAAUGCAAGUUGUGCCCGAGGCCAUCCAACCGAGGGCACGCCUGCCUGGGUGCCAACC
rnacentral:rRNA from 1 species